AGUGAACGCUGGCGGUAGGCCUAACACAUGCAAGUCGAACGGCAGCACAGUAAGAUCUUGCUCUUACGGGUGGCGAGUGGCGGACGGGUGACGAAUACAUCGGAAUCUACUUUUUCGGGGGGGAUAACGUAGGGACACUUACGCUAAUACCGCAUACGACCUACGGGUGAAAGCAGUGGAUCUUCGGACCUUGCGCAAUUGAAUGAGCCGAUGUCGGAUUAGCUAGUUGGCGGGGUAAAGGCCCACCAAGGCGACGAUGCGUAGCUGGCCUGAGAGGAUGAUCAGCCACACUGGAACUGAGACACGGUCCAGACUCCUACGGGAGGCAGCAGUGGGGAAUAUUGGACAAUGGGCGAAAGCCUGAUGCAGCCACACCGCGUGAGUGAAGAAGGCCUUCGGAUUGUAAAGCCCUUUUGUUGGGAAAGAAAAGCAGCAGGUGAAUACCCGGCUGUUCUGACGGUACCUAAAGAAUAAGCACCGGCUAACUUCGUG
rnacentral:rRNA from 1 species